rnacentral:rRNA from 1 species
CGUGAACCGGUGAGGUGGAAACGGAUAGAGCCAGCGCAUCUGGCCUGUAUUCAGCCGUUCGGCCGCUGGCGUCAGGGUGCCGCUCUCCAGAUUGGGACGGUGCCUUGUGCUGCUGGUGGUCGCGUGGUGCAUUUGCAGGUGGAGUGCGCCGAGGCGCUCGGGGUAGCGGCAUGAGCUCAGUUUUGAGGCCAGCCCGCAAGGGUCUGGUACCCGAGCUGGGGGAGUGUUGUUUGCCCUGGGUGUUGUCUCGAGUAUGGUCUUCGGGCUCGGGUGGGCGCCGAGCUGGCAGCCGGUUACGGUCGCAUGCGACACGUGCCAGUAGUCAGUUCGGUCCUAUUCGAGCUCACUUACUCAUCCUCGGUGUAAAAGCUGGUCAUCUAUCCGACCCGUCUUGAAACACGGACCAAGGAGUUUAGCGUGUGCGCGAGUCAUUGGGCGUUAAAAACCCAAAGGCGCAAUGAAAGUAAAGGUUCCCGCAAGGGGCUGACGUGCGAUCCUGUGCACCGCGGUGUGCAGGCGCAGCAUGGUCCCGUCCCGACUGCUUGCAGUGGGGCGGAGACAGAGCGUACGCGCUGAGACCCGAAAGAUGGUGAACUAUUCCUGAGCAGGAUGAAGUCAGAGGAAACUCUGAUGGAAGUCCGAAGCGAUUCUGACGUGCAAAUCGAUCGUCUGACUUGGGUAUAGGGGCGAAAGACUAAUCGAACCAUCUAG